GAUGAACGCUGGCGGCGUGCCUAACACAUGCAAGUCGAGCGAUUCUCUUCGGAGAAGAGCGGCGGACGGGUGAGUAACGCGUGGGUAACCUGCCCUGUACACACGGAUAACAUACCGAAAGGUAUGCUAAUACGGGAUAACAUAAGAAAUUCGCAUGUUUUCUUAUCAAAGCUCCGGCGGUACAGGAUGGACCCGCGUCUGAUUAGCUAGUUGGUGAGGUAGUGGCUCACCAAGCCGACGACGGGUAGCCGGUCUGAGAGGAUGGCCGGCCACAAGGGCACUGAGAGACGGGCCCUACUCCUACGGGAGGCAGCAGUGGGGGAUUUUGGACAAUGGGCGAAAGCCUGAUCCAGCGACGCCGCGUGGAGGACGAAGCCCUUCGGGGUGUAAACUCCUUUUCUCAGGGAAAAAGGAUGAUGGUACCUGAGGAAUAAGCCACGGCUAACUACGUG
rnacentral:rRNA from 1 species